rnacentral:rRNA from 1 species
CCUACGGGUGGCAGCAGUGGGGGAUAUUGCACAAUGGGGGGAACCCUGAUGCAGCGACGCCGCGUGGGUGAAGAAGUGCUUCGGCAUGUAAAGCUCUAUCAGCAGGGAAGAAAAUGACGGUACCUGAGUAAGAAGCCCCGGCUAAAUACGUGCCAGCAGCCGCGGUAAUACGUAGGGGGCAAGCGUUAUCCGGAUUUACUGGGGGUAAAGGGAGCGUAGGCGGCCUUGCAAGUCUGAAGUGAAAGGCCGGGGCCCAACCCCCGGGCUGCAGUGGAAACUGGCAGGCUGGAGUGCCGGAGAGGCAGGCGGAAUUCCUAGUGUAGCGGUGAAAUGCGUAGAUAUUAGGAGGAACACCGGUGGCGAAGGCGGCCUGCUGGACGGCGACUGACGCUGAGGCUCGAAAGCGUGGGGAGCGAACAGGAUUAGAUACCCUAGUAGUC